AUUAACUAUAAUCUUCAUUCUUCAAGUUAGAUUUAUAACAUUUGGAAUCCUCCAUUUAUAUUUCUUAUAUGAGCAUCAAAUAUGAAGCUUGCUUGGUUUCUAGUUCUCGGCCUUGUGUUCAUGGUGGUUUUAACGAAAAGAUCGUCGAUGGCGUUUGCACGAGGAAGUUUUCGUCCAGGGCGCGUAGGUCAAACGACACACAGACGUGGAGGAAAUUUAUGGGGAAUAAAGGACAAUUUCCCAACGAACUCAUCGAAACAGAUGACGAAGUACCAAUUCCCGAAGAAUGACAAGUUCUCGUGAUGAUCCGAAUUGUAGCCUACCCCUCGAUAACAAUUACUUGCUUCGAUUUUUUCAAACUAUAUAUAUGCUUCAUUGUAUUUUUACAAUCCAUACGAAAUUAAACUCAUUACCUUAUAUACUUGCAAUUUCUGAGAUAAAAACGGUCCAAGUACAUAAGAUAUAGCUGAGA